AUUGAACGCUGGCGGCAGGCCUAACACAUGCAAGUCGAGCGGAUGACGGGAGCUUGCUCCUUGAUUCAGCGGCGGACGGGUGAGUAAUACCUAGGAAUCUGCCUGAUAGUGGGGGACAACGUUUCGAAAGGAACGCUAAUACCGCAUACGUCCUACGGGAGAAAGCAGGGGACCUUCGGGCCUUGCGCUAUCAGAUGAGCCUAGGUCGGAUUAGCUAGUUGGUGAGGUAAUGGCUCACCAAGGCGACGAUCCGUAACUGGUCUGAGAGGAUGAUCAGUCACACUGGAACUGAGACACGGUCCAGACUCCUGCGGGAGGCAGCAGUGGGGAAUAUUGGACAAUGGGCGAAAGCCUGAUCCAGCCAUGCCGCGUGUGUGAAGUAGGUCUUCGGAUUGUAAAGCACUUUAAGUUGGGAGGAAGGGCAGUAAGCUAAUACCUUGCUGUUUUGACGUUACCGACAGAAUAAGCACCGGCUAACUCUGUGCCAGCCGCCGCAGUAACAC
rnacentral:rRNA from 1 species